rnacentral:rRNA from 1 species
UACGUAGGGGGCAAGCGUUGUCCGGAUUUAUUGGGCGUAAAGAGCGUGUAGGCGGUUAGGUAGGUCCGUUGUGAAAACUCGAGGCUCAACCUCGAGACGUCGGUUGAAACCACCUGGCUAGAGUCCGGAAGAGGAGUGUGGAAUUCCCGGUGUAGCGGUGAAAUGCGCAGAUAUCGGGAAGAACACCCGUGGCGAAGGCGGCACUCUGGGACGGUACUGACGCUGAGACGCGAAAGCGUGGGGAGCGAACAGG